rnacentral:antisense_RNA from 22 species
GGAAUUAUAUAUAUAUCUUAGCUUAAAAUUAUUUUUGAUAAAUUGAUAGAAUUUUGGAGAUAAUUUGGAGAAUCAAAAAAUGGUGGCCACGACUGGACUUGAACCAGCGACCACUACCA